CAAAUGGGAGCCCGAGGUGAUUGGAGGGUCAAGGGGAUGUGACGCGUCCCGCGCCGCCGCCGCCGCCGCCGCCGCCGCCGCCGCCGCCAGGACUCUCAGCGCUGGUUUUAAUGGGCAGCUCCUUCUUCACCGCCCCCCUCCCGCGUGUCCCCUCCCUCGAUUUCGCUCCGAGGACGAGCUGGACAUUUAUUCUGCGUUUCCUAUCUGCCGCCUCCCUCUUUUUUCUUCCUCGUCGUCCUUCCUUUCCCUGGCUCGAAAAUAAACUGAAGCCUUCUUUUUGCAGGAGGAAUCGACGGGAUUUCUCUGCGGUUUGCGCUGCCUGUUUCCGAAUAAAUUCAGCUCUCAGGCAUCCGGCAGGAAACGGCUCCCGGUUCGAGUGUACGAAGACGCAUCGGCCCAGCACGGGAUGGGAGGUGGCUGCUGGUGCUCGUGAGGCUUGUAGGUCCGGCCUCCGAAGGAGGCUGGACUAUCAGCGCCCUCAGGCCGGGAGCGGCUCCUUGCUGCCCCACAGUGCCCGGCAGCCCCCACCUCUGGUGGUGCUUCGGAAGCCAGCCGGGCCGAGUCCGCCCGCGGCGAAAACUGAAAGCAAAUUCCGCGGCAAAUGAAGCCCAAACUUUCUUCGACGCAACUUUGCCACAACGAUUCGGUGGCGACUUAGGACGGAGCGCUAGUGUGUGCGCGCGCAAGGUGGGGCGGUGGGCGAAGAAGGCUUGGGCGGCUGAUCCUGGCCCUAGGCGAAAGGCUAGGGAAGGCGCCUCCCCUUCCUUAUUUCUUGCCAACUCCUCGGCCCCAGUCCGUAAAAAUAGUUUCCAAUGUGUAGCGGACUCCCAGGAUGUGUUUGUGGGGAUCGCACCAGGGAGAAGGAAGCGUUGUAAAAGUUGCAGAAAAAGCUUUGCCCAGAAGCGUCCGCCCGGCAGGGUUCAAGAAAGCUGGGAACCAGCUCGGCAUUCCCGGGGCGGAAUGCCUAGAAAUCGGCUUGGGGAGUCCCCAGCCCAGUCCUCUCCCCUCACCUCGAACCCGCGCGUAAAUAACCUCCCGCAGUCUGCGCUGGAAACCCACAAGCGCAGCGCAGCGGUUGGCUGGCGAGGCCCGGACGCUGAGCCGGCCCGCAAGGCCGCUCCUUGGCGCGCUCAGCCCCAGUCCUAAGAGAGGCUUGAACCGAGGUGAGAGGAAGAGUUUGGUUUCAGCUCCUGCUUGGCUGCCUAGACCAUCACCGCCGACCUCCCAACUCCUUGGAGCGGGCGCUUCCCCCCUGGGAGCGGCAGUCUUGGGGGGCUGGCCAGGGCGCAAAGUGCGCGCGCGGGCCAGCGCGGGGGUGGGGGGGCGGCUGCCGGUCUCUCCGCGGGGCCUGUCGCCGGGCCGGCCGCGGCGGGUGAGUGAUGAGGGCAGAGAAGGGCGCCCAUAAAUCGCGGGUGUCAGGGCGAAAAACUCUCUUUAUUGUCUGCGUGAUGGAUGGGCCCGGGGACGAGACACCAAAUACUUCGUAUCGCCUUUAAAUGGGAACACAUUUUCCGCGGCCAUAAUUCAUGUUUUUUAAAUAGAAAGUUUGAAAUGUUGCCUAUAUUUCACCGGCCCUGACAUAUUUAUGAAUCGCUCCCUGCAUGCAAAUAUCAUUAUUUAAAGCGCCGGGGAGAGCUCGGGGGGGAGGGGAGGAGGCACGGCCCCCGUGGCGUGGAGGUGGUGAACCGGGGAAAUGCGGAUGGAGGGGGUGGUGCAUCUCCCUAAAGUGAGGACAAUAAGGCGCGGGGGAAAGCCUUAUCCGGAAGCCCAGCGCUCCAGGGGCUCCACUCCCGCCGCUGGACCGAGCACUGUCGCUCCGGGAAGUUUGAGCGGCUUGGGACCGAGGACAGGCCCCCCCACCCCGUCCCCUGCGGGGAGAUCCGGGGGCUUUUGCGUCCCUCUCCGAGGCCCUGAUCCGAGCCAAAGCUACCUUUUCCAAGAAGAAAAUGUUUUUUUUUUUAAAUAAAAGAAUUUAACAAACGCA
ensembl:lncRNA